rnacentral:misc_RNA from 1 species
AAUAUUCUUGGGCCGGUGAAUUGUCAAAAGCCGCAGUCUCAUCGUCAUGAUACAAAAUAGAAAGAGAACUUACACUGUGUAGAUACCAGAACAAUAAAAAAUGGCGAUGGCAAGCUUCGCGAGAAGAAAGGCAUACCUUCUCGCUCGAAAUUUCUCCAAUUGCAAUCCUAAUGCUCUCAGGUACUCCUUCUCGCUCACCGGCUUCUCCCGUGGAUUCGCCUCCUUGGGAUCUGAGGACAACGAUGUUGUCGUUAUCGGCGGCGGUCCUGGCGGCUACGUUGCAGCUAUCAAGGCCGCUCAGCUUGGACUCAAAACCACUUGCAUCGAGAAACGUGGAACUCUCGGUGGCACCUGCCUCAACGUUGGAUGCAUUCCUUCUAAGGUAUACGUUCUUAUGUCUCAGGGAUUUUAGUUUUUCUUUGUUCGAUCUCUUUUCCAGUUUUUUAAUUUUAUUUCUUGAUUUUGUAAAUAAAGGAUUGUUUGAUUUGCUUGGCUGAUUGUUGAGCUUAGGCCCAGAUCUGGUAGCUUAACUUGAUUACCAUUUCUCCAUUCAUCGUGGAGGAUUUUGUUCUUGCUUGAGUGUCUUUACUGAUUACUGGGAAAGUUGGUUUGAUUUCAAUUGAACCCCUUUUAUUUUAUUUGAGAAAUCUUGUCUCAUAAACUCUUUCUCUCUCUCUCUGGCUCUUGAAGUUGGAGUUCUUUGUUCCAUUUACACACUUAGAGCAGAGCGCAUUUAUAUGGCCAAGAAAUUGUUUUGCCAAGUAUGGUUGGCAGAAAACGCUUGUUAAUAAUGUGAUGAAUGUCUUUGUUUCGUUCUUUGAAAGGAUUUGAUUGGUUAAAGGGGACAGAUUGUUGGCUUUGCUUGUAAUCUGUAGGGUAGGGUAUGUUGUACUCCUCCUUUUGUGGAAUAAUCAGUGCUCUUCCUUUUGAUUAGUUCUGCUACGCUAAUCCAUUUACUGACAUGGUAGUGUUCACACAUAAAUAUAGGACUUGUCUGCAUGUGGUAUUGGGCUGUUUUAUUCACUUCAGUGAUAUGUUCGAUGUGUUCAAUAUGUGCCGCCUUUGAAAAAUUUUCUAACUUUUCUUAUGUUCAGG